UGUAUCUCACCCUCACUCCCUGGCUGGGUUUAACCUGUCCUGUGUUCUGUUUCGUUGCAGUGUGGUUUAUCGUAUCGGCAACGAGGAAAGUAACCCCCUCCAGUUCACGACCACCUCACCGAUGGAUUUCAAUGACAUUGACGUAGGUUUCUCGGGCCGGAGUGGGGCGAUGGUAGUGAUUACUGUGCUGCUGUCUAUUGCCAUGGCUGUGCUCAUCAUCCUCCUGAUUGUUUCUGUAUUCGUCAGAACCUAAACAAUAGGCUUGAAGGAUGAUCAAAUCCUAUCAGUUAUAUAUGAACCUUCUUAUUAAUUGUGCAUUUUAUAAUUGUGCUCUGCACUUUCAAAUAUUCUGUAUUUAAUUUGUAAUUUGGAGGGACAGUUACUAAUUAUGAAUGGAAUAGUUCUGUACCAUGUUUUAACUAUUGAGAAUUUUAUCUUUCUGUCCCAUGAGUCUUACUGAGCUCUAUCUGUUAUUCAUCCCAUAAUCCCAAAAUCUUUUAACCCUCUGUCCCUUCUGAAAUAAUCCUCCAGUCCUCACUGGAUCCCUCCCUGGAUCUAUUGGUUCUGAUCGAUCUGUUUGUGGGGAAUCGGUGCUGGGGGUGAUUGUAGAACCUCACAGAUGUGGAAAUGAUGGUUCGGUGCUUCCAUUGAACCUGAUUAAAACACUGUACACUUACAUUGUAUUCUCAAUUUGUGUUUAAAAUAUAUAUAUUUAUAAUCCAGUCUCAUUCAAGUCACUCAGUAAAACCAGGGAGAGGGCUCUAUGGGUUUGGUGGGUGUGGCUGUUUGCUGCAUGUGUGUUUUUCUGUGAGUGUGGAUGCAUGACGUUUUGUGAAUGACCAGUUUUGGUCUAUGGACUGGUUUUGGUGUGAGUGUAAUUUUUGAUGGGUGUGAUUGUGGCAUGUGCAGAAUCCAGUGUGAAGAGCUCUCGCUGGUACCUUGUGCUGGAGAACGAGUAUUGAUUGAAACCAGAGGACACCAGGAGAUGUUUUAAAUUGGUUUGAGCAGAAAUGCUGGUGAGAUGUGGCACAGUGCUGGGAUAAGGUGGGAGCAGGAGGAUGUGUAGUUGACAUUUUCAGCUCAGAUACUUCUCUGACACUAGUAUUUCAUUCAAAUGCCAAUGAUUUAUUUUCAAUGCAAGUCAAAGUUCAUAUGUAAUCCUCAAUGAUAUUGUGCUGGAUCAUGUGAAUACGCUAACUAAUCUAUGCUCACCAAACUUGAUUGGUUAAGCCUCCAGGUGGACUCGGAGCAAAAUAAACAGACACUACAGAAACUUCUAGAACCUGAGCCUGGGAAGACAUUUUAGGUUACUGAGAUAUUUUAAAACUCUUGUAAAUAAACCUGUUGCACACAAA